rnacentral:lncRNA from 1 species
GAGGAGAUCGGGCGACCGGCUCCAGCUCUCCAUGGUGGGGGUGGUGCUGCACCUACUGGACACGGGAGGGAAACACAGAGUUGAGAGAGAGGAAGGAGACAAAGGAAAGGAGAGAGGUGACGGGGCGGGGCUGGCCUGCGCGGCUUCGAUGGGAAACGACCAGGCGUCUCCGUCCUCCUGCGUGCGUGCACUGCAACAAACGAGAACAUGGCGGAGGUGCAAAGCAACGGGUCUCCAGCAAUGCGAGGAAGAGGAGGGAGCCAGAUCCGCGAUGGUACGUGUAGGAUCCAUUUGUUCCCAACGGUUUGGGAGAGUCCCCAUGCCACGACGGCGAGCUCCUUCGGCGGCCAUGGACGUCCUACUGGAUGGAAAGGAGAGAGAGGUUAUGGGAGGACGAGAACUGGAGAAGGAGAGGGAGGCGUGGGGCUUGGGGUCGACCUGGUGCUCUGGCGAGGCGGGCUGGAGAGCUCAGGCCGGCAUGGGGCUCCAGCGUCGUGGUCGAGGCGGGGAGGGGUCAGGCGCUGGGAAGGGCUCCGCGGCUCUGCGAGUACGCGUACGCCCCGCUGCAAGCAUUGGACGCGUCCGGCUGCUCUGCUCGCGAGGAGCUCCUCGGUUGAGCAGAAUCGGGGAUCUGGGGCAAGGAUUGGUUAGCUGAGAGGGGAUUGGGUAGGCACGCAAACGUUUGCCGGUGGAGAAAACGAGGUGGGUGGCAGCGAGGCUCGGGAUUGGGGAUAGGAUAGACCUCCUAGAUUUUAGGGUUGGGUCUAAUAGGCAUUUGGACCCUUCGUUUAAAUCGGACGGUCAAAAUGACUAGGUUAGGGAGUCAAGUUGACAAACCGGUGACGGUUUGUGGUAAAACGAGGUUGAUCCGGACCUAACGGUUACGACCGUGUGUUUCGGGCACCGGGAGGUUUUCGGACCAGGUUGCACGUAGGGGUGGUGCACUGUGCAGAGGCGCUAGGCGGAGAUGAAAGGGAAAACGGGCAACCCGGUAACAGAAUUUAAAACACCGAAACGUCCGACAACUGACCGGCUAUAGUGCCGCUAUAUAAUAAACGACACGGGUAACAAACGAGCUCCGAUCGCGAUGAAAUUUGACGGACGGCCUACAUACACUAAAUUAAUACCGCACGACAAAUCUCAACCCGAUCAGAGGAAGUUUUAUACACGCUUUGAAAACAGGGUUUCUAACGAUGCCGCCGGCGCGUGCGUGUGUGGUCGGGCUCGGAACGAACAACGACGUUAACCGACAACUAACAACGGAUGCAACGUUUGAAAACUGGCGGCAACGGAGAUGCCGAUGCAAUGCAGAUGAUGCAAAUAAUGCAACAAAAUAAAACAGACACACGACGAAAACGGAAAGGAAAGGGAAUCUUCUGGAACGUCGGCACCGGGCUGUCACAACUCUCCUAUACUACAAGAGGAUCUCGCCCCGAGAUCCAAGAAUGAAAAGGGGGGAGAGGAUGAGAAAGAACAAGAGGUAAAAACUUAGUCGCUUCUUUGACAAACGAGUGAAACCAAUGAUCCUUGAAAGUUGCAAGGCGAUGAGGAAUGAAAAGAGAAAGAAGCAAGAAUUCACGGAAAAUUUUGGCAGCACUUCGGUAGGAAAAUGGGACAAAAAAAUUCGAUACGAAGAGAGAAUUAGACAAUAGUCACAACCAACAACUAAAUAGAACGAGGGAACACCAUGAUCUUGACAGAACAAGAUAAUAGACCCAAAAGAGCAACAUCACAAAUCCUCCGGAACAAGAGCAUAGGAACUAGCUCAUACAGAAGAAGAGAAUGAAGAAAAGAAUGACAACUAUCAUCAGAAUAGAGUAGAAGAGCCUCCAGACAGAGAAUUGACAUAGUAGUUGGAAAACCAACAACGAAUAGAACAAGAUAGUAGUGGGCUUAUGGAAAUCAUCACAACAUUUAUGAGGUGACAACCGACCACUAAAAGAAACAAGGGUUGAUUGGGAGAAACAAGAUAUGAACAAUUUCUUACACCAAGAGGAUACAAUGAGAACUUGGAUUAAUGACAAGCACCAUGAUAGCACAAUCCAUAGGAAAAGUUUUAGGUGAAGUCCAAACCAAGAUAGCUCAAUGAAGAAAUCAUGGGUUGAAAAUAUCUCAUGAUCAUAGAAUUGGUGGGUUUAAUUAUCUCAUUUUUGAAAGGAAAACUCUUCGAGGCUCCUACACUAACAAGAAUGUUAUAAUACCACCUCAAAGGAUAAAGGAAGAACAAUUGCACAUAUAAAUGCAAGAGAAAGGAUAGUUGAGGUUCUCCAACAAGAAUCUUAAAGAACACUUAAGAAUGGAUUGAAACCUUGAUGAACCACCAAGAAGGACCUCUGUAUACAAAUGAAUGAUGCAAAGAUAUGAAGGUAGAAAAGAAUAAGAUUAUGACCUUGCCAAGAUUUAGAUGAAGCCUCACAAAGAGAUUCUUGAGAAAACUUGGAACUCCGGAAAAGAAAAGAUAAUAACAGUUGAGAAAAAGGAAUUGAUAUCAUGAGCCACUCCGGAAGAAGAAUUGAAAUCAUUAUGAAACAGGAGUAAGAAUUAUGUCAUGCUUAUCGUUCAUCAAAUUAAAUUGAUGACAAGUAAUGGAUUUAGCAUACAACUUAUUCUUCUAAAAAGAUUGAGGAGAGAUAUGAGCACAAACUAGAAGAAAUCUUGAAAGAGGCACCGGUGAGAAUUGAAAUGAAUGAGCCAACCAUGAAUGACUGGAGAUACAUGAGAAAGAAGAGAUCAUGAGCCACCUGAGAGAAAACUAGAACAAGGCACCGGAUAAACGAAAGACGAACGAAGAGACACCAAUGGAGAAGAAUUGAGGAGGAAAGCUGAAAGCUGAGAACGAAGAUUCUUCUGAAAUGAUGGCCUUCGGAGAAUCGAGAAUGAAACAAUUCAGAAAUGCACCGGAUAAAAAGAAAGGGAUACUCAUGAUUGACAACAGUUAAGACGACGACACAAAGCUGAAAUGAUGAAUCUCCAAGAGAAUGAACCAAGAUUUGAGAGAAACACCCCUACGAAUUUGCAAGCUGAGAAUGAUGAGAAGAACACCACCAAGAAUAAUUGAGACACUCCGGAAUAAUGAAGAAUGAAAGGUUGAGCCAAAUAUGAGAAUAAAUUCAAAUAGGCCUUGGAGAAGGGAUAUGACUGAUGAAAUUCAUACUUACGUCACAGUUGAAAAGAAUUAAAGAUCUCUGGAAGGAUUACAAGAGUUAGGAAAGAUCCUGGGAAAGAACCUGUGGGUUAUGGGCCCACUCAAGAAACCACCGUUAGAGAAGAUUGCUGGAAAGAUUGAUAUUGCACCGGUAUGAAGAGGACUAGAUGAAGUUAGUACCCCGAAAUAAUUAAAAGAAUUGAAAAUGAGAAAUUACUGAAAUAUCUACAACACACCGGAUAAAAAGGAGAUGAAUGAAUAACAGGAUAGGCUGAUAAGAAUCUCCAACAUAGGAAGAAUUACAAGGAUGAAUAGGAUAUGAAGACACGGAUAAUUGAAUUAAAUUUACCGGUAAAGAUGACAAGAAUGAAAAAAUAAGACAAGAAGCUCGUGAGAAUCUUCACGAUGAAUCACUGGUUACGAAAGAAAGAAGAGAUAGCGGAACCAUCAGUGGAAUGAAAUGCACUUGGAUGAAAUCCAAUCACUGAAGAAAAAGGGCGGGAGGGCGGGGAAAACAAAGACAACUUGGGACGGAUGAGAUGAACUCCGGAAUAAAAUGAGAGACUGAUCUUGCAACAUUGGAAAGGAAUGAAUUCACUUGUAGAUAAACACACCGGUUGAAAAAGAAUUGAUAUGGCGACUCCGGUUGACAAAAUUGAUAAGACAACUAAUUGAGCAACAGGAUUUGCAUUCUCACAUAAAAAUAUGAGAAGACCUCUUGGAAAGAUCUGAAAUCAACACUUGACAUCGAAGCAACUUGAAUUACCAUAUUUCGAGAAACCAAAGAGUGAGGCUUACGAAACAAGCCAGAACAAACUCAUGAGAAAGAUUUCCGUUUGAUAUUUUCGUGGACAGGAUCGCACGGGCUCGAUUUACAGAAGCCAUCAAGUGCAAGGCAGUGCACCUGACAUGCGAAGCAUCCCCGAGUCGUAGCAAGCUACAAGGACUCUUUAAGACACAACGUGUACCACUGUAAGUCGACCGUGAACAAACGAAUCCACUAGAUGUCGAACCCCAACCUAACAUCAAGAAUUUGUUAGAAGAUUGUCCUAUAAGCAACUACUUGAACUCCCACCUAUGAAUUCCCGAAAUAUCUGGUCAUGCAAUCUGGUACACGGAUACAAGGAGUAAUACCACACAACUCCUAUACUAACCCGUCACCUGUAUCACAUCCGUCAACACACAACCAGAAUCUCGGACCUUCAUCUACAAUAGACCCUCGUGAUCACAACGAUACAAAGUAUGGCAGUACUCCCGAACAAUCUGCACCAGUACUGGGGACAUCGGGGUUAUCUUGCCACUACUCGUAUUGAAGCAAUUACGAACAUCCUUCGUCCUGAGAUACUAAGAAAUCUGAAUGAUAAGGAUGUGCUCAAGAAUCCCCUGGAGCUCAACUCCCCGGAAGAAAAUCAAGUCAGACAGGAGGCACCAAGACCGAACUCCGUCACAUCGGCAUCAUAUAGAUUCCAACAAUAUCCGCCUGAUCCUAAAAAAAAUUUGAGUGGGAAGAGGAGUAGAGUAAAUUAUUACGUCAAGAUUCCACACCAGAGCAUAGAAGAGGAGAAAAAAGAAUCCUAUUCUCCGAUAUAUAACUAAGACUCAAAUAGUUUUUUCACUAGACUCGACUCGGCCAUGUUCGAUCAAUCAAGGGGCUCCUAGGUCGGUAAUGGUCUGAUACCAACUUGUCACGCCCAAGAUGUGACCCUAUCCUCAAUUUGGCACGAAGGCCUCGUCAGGUAUAGAAGCGCAUCUUGUCGUGUCGCAAGAAUGGAUAUCGUUACAAGUACAUGUACUGAAAAGGAGAGUUACAUAAAGAGUUGGCUUACACUCGCCACAAGCUACAUCAGAGUCACAUCAGUACAUGACAUAAUCAUCAAGAGUAAGAGGAGGGUCCGACUACGGACGAAAACAAACGAGAAAAAUAAGAACGAAGUCCAUCCUUGCUAUCCCAGGCUGCCGGCCUGGAACCCAUCCUAGAUCGAUGAAGAAGAAGAAGAAGCAACUCCAAGUGAACAAACAACGCGCUCGCGUCGAGUAACCUUUACAUGUACCUGCAACUGGUGUUGUAGUAAUCUGUGAGUCACAGGGGACUCAGCAAUCUCAUUUCCAAAGGUAUCAAGACUAGCAAAGCUUAAUGGGUUAGGUAUGGUUGAGUGGUGAGGUUGCAACAGCGGCUAAGCACAUAUUUGGUGGCUAACUUACGAGUACCAGAAAUAAGAGGGGGAAGAUCUACGCAUAGCGGACGUGAACUACUGAUGAUCAAAUGAACGAUCCUGAACACCUACCUACGUCAGACAUAACCCCACCGUGUCCUCGAUCGGAGAAGGAACUCACGAAAGAGACAGUCACGGUUACGCACACAGUUGGCCAAUUUUAAUUAAGUUAACUUCAAGUUAUCUAGAACCAGUGUUAAACAAAGCUUCCAUGUUGCCACAUAACCGCGGGCACGGCUUUCCGAAAGAUUUAACCCUGUAGGGGUGCUCCAACUAGUCCAUCACAAAUUACCACAAGCCGCAUAGAAAUCCUCAAUCACGAAGCUCGCGAUCUCGUCGGAUACCCUAGUGGAAAACCUCAACUCUGAGAUUACCCAAAGCAUCACCGGAAUCCUGAUGCACAAGAUAUCUCGUCAAAGGUAAAACUAAUCCAGCAAGGCCGCCCGACGUGUCGACGAUCCUGAUAGGAGUCGCGUACCUCGUUCUCAGGACAGGACGGAUGGGUCACACUAGGAGAACCAAACCUCGGGUUGCCCCGCGGUGGCCCCGUAGUCUGCCAAUUUGGACCAACACUCAUGAGGAGCACUCGCCCGGGGGUUCAUUAAAUUAUCCUCGGGGUCCGGAAAGUCCCUAUGCAAUUUUAUAAGGUGUUUAGGCAAAUGUAGUACCAAAGUUGGGCCUUGCCAGACCAGUCUUAAUCUAAAAUGAAUUAUCAAGGGGGUCCCCAUAACAACCCUGAUCGUGUUAGGAGCGCUCAAUUAUGGAACAUAACACCGGUAGCCGGAAACUUAGGGGGCAAAGGUGGAACAAAACACCAGGCUAGAAAGGCCGAGCCUUCCACCUUUUACCAAGUAUAUAGGUGCUUUAAAUUAGAUAGCAUUUAAUAUGGUGAUAUAUCAAGGAACCCAUGCUUUCACAUGGAAGCAUCUGCACCUGCAACUAGCAACGCUAUCAACAGGGUUAAGCAAGCAGUAACAUAGCCAAUCAGUGGUUUGCUAGGUUGAAAAGGUUGAAGGUUUCAUGGCAUUGUUGAGACGCUGAUAUUUAACAUGUGGUAGGCAACGAGACAUAAACGAUAGAAGCGAUAAACUAGCAUGGCAAUGAUAGUAAUGGUAUUUGGGGAAAUGAUCAUCUUGCCUGAGAUCCCGCUUGGAAGAAGAAUGCCUCCGUGAAGCAGACGAACCGACGUAGUCGAACGGGUCCUCACAAUCCGGCAAGCGUGCGGAGCUCUAUCGAGACGAAGCAAACCGGAAACACAAAUCAUCACACGGAAUUCACCACACGAUGCACAACACAAAUGAUGCAUGAGCAGCUGGAUACAUGCAAGUCACGACAUGACAAUUCACACAAUCAAACACUACACAUGAAGUGAAGUUCAAUAUGCAACGAGUUGCAUAUCGACGAAACUCCACGUUUAAUUAUUUAGUUCACUCCCGAUUAUUAACACGACAAUAUUAAAAUGUUGUUAACAUGGUAAGGGGUGAAGCAAAAAAUAUAACUAUCUAUCUAUGCAUUUUAAAUGAGGCCGGAAACAACUUAUAGCAUCUCCGAAAUGACCCCACGCGUUAAAUUCUAAUUCUGUCCAGAUUUGUCCUAAUCACAUUUUAAGUUUGUUAAGAAGCAAAACAAAGUGGGUCACGUGAUUCUACUCGUCGUUCUGGUCCAUUUACAUAUAUGGCCCAUCUCCAACGGAGCUACGAGCAAUUAGUUAUGACCUAAACCGUUUUCAACACGUCGACACGCAAACCGAAGCAAACAACACACUAAACAGUUCUAAUUAUGCAUGAGAGUUGGAAAUUGCUAAUCUACACGAAAUUCUAGUCAAGUUACAUAUUUAAUUCACUCUGAUCCGAUGCAUGGUUGAAACGUUAUGGGGGUGGUGCUGCACCUGUUGGACACGGGAGGGAAAUAGAGAGUUGAGAUAGAGGGAGGAGACAAAGGAAAGGAGAGAGGUGACGGGGCGGGGCUGGCCUGCGCGGCUUCGAUGGGAAACGACCAGGCGUCUCCGUCCUCCUGCGUGCGUGCACUGCAACAAACGAGAACAUGGCGGAGGCGCAAAGCAACGGGUCUCCAGCAAUGCGAGGAAGAGGAGGGAGCCAGAUCCGCGAUGGCACGUGUAGGAUCCAUCUGUUCCCAACGGUUUGGGAGAGUCCCCAUGCCACGACGGCGAGCUCCUUCGGCGGCCAUGGAGGUCCUG